GUCUUCUUGGGGGUAUAAGAAGUCGGGCCUGCCCAGUGAUAAAUUCAACGGCCGCGGUAUCCUGACCGUGCAAAGGUAGCAUAAUCAUUUGCUCUAUAAUUGAGGGCUUGUAUGAAUGGUUUGACGGAGUUUAACUGUCUCUUUUUAAUUUUAUAAAAUUUAACUUUUAGAUGAAGAGGUCUACAUAAAAUUAAAAGACGAGAAGACCCUGUCGAGCUUUUGAUAGAGCUUAUGGGGGAAAUAAGUUUAAUCUUUAAUUGGGGCAAUUAAGGAACAUCAAAAGCUUCCUUAAGGUUAAACGUUUGGCAAAUCUUGAUCCAUUAUAUUAAUGAUCAGAGGAAAAAGUUACCGCAGGGAUAACAGCGUUAUUCUUCUUGAGAGUUCUCAUUGAAAGAAGAGUUUGCGACCUCGAUGUUGGACUAAAGUUUCCUAAAGAUGUAGAAGUCUUUAAGGGUUGGUCUGUUCGACCAUUAAAACUUU
rnacentral:rRNA from 1 species